AAUGGCUCAUUAAAUCAGUUAUCGUUUAUUUGAUAGUACCUUACUACUUGGAUAACCGUGGUAAUUCUAGAGCUAAUACAUGCUAAAAACCCCGACUUCGGGAGGGGUGUAUUUAUUAGAUAAAAAACCAAUGCCCUCCGGGGCUCUUUGGUGAUUCAUAGUAACUCAACGGAUCGCAUGGCCUUGCGCCGGCGACGGUUCAUUCAAAUUUCUGCCCUAUCAACUUUCGAUGGUAAGGUAUUGGCUUACCAUGGUUUCAACGGGUAACGGGGAAUUAGGGUUCGAUUCCGGAGAGGGAGCCUGAGAAACGGCUACCACAUCCAAGGAAGGCAGCAGGCGCGCAAAUUACCCAAUCCCGACUCGGGGAGGUAGUGACAAUAAAUACUGAUACAGGGCUCUUUUGGGUCUUGUAAUCGGAAUGAGUACAAUUUAAACCCCUUAACAAGGAACAAUUGGAGGGCAAGUCUGGUGCCAGCAGCCGCGGUAAUUCCAGCUCCAAUAGCGUAUAUUAAAGUUGUUGCAGUUAAAAAGCUCGUAGUUGAACCUUGGGCCUGGCUGGCCGGUCCGCCUCACCGCGUGCACUGGUCCGGCCGGGCCUUUCCUUCUGGAGAGCCGCAUGCCCUUCACUGGGUGUGCCGGGGAACCAGGACCGUUACUUUGAAAAAAUUAGAGUGUUCAAAGCAGGCCUUUGCUCGAAUACGUUAGCAUGGAAUAUCGAAAUAGGACGUGCGGUCCUAUUUUGUUGGUUUCUAGGACCGCCGUAAUGAUUAAUAGGGAUAGUCGGGGGCAUCAGUAUUCAAUUGUCAGAGGUGAAAUUCUUGGAUUUAUUGAAGACUAACUACUGCGAAAGCAUUUGCCAAGGAUGUUUUCAUUAAUCAGUGAACGAAAGUUAGGGGAUCGAAGACGAUCAGAUACCGUCGUAGUCUUAACCGUAAACUAUGCCGACUAGGGAUCGGGCGAUGUUUCUAUCUUGACUCGCUCGGCACCU
rnacentral:rRNA from 1 species